GAUGAACGCUGGCGGCGUGCUUAACACAUGCAAGUCGAGCGAAGCACUUUACUUGGAAUUCUUCGGAAGGAAAAGUUUUGUGACUGAGCGGCGGACGGGUGAGUAACGCGUGGGUAACCUGCCUCAUACAGGGGGAUAACAGCUAGAAAUGGCUGCUAAUACCGCAUAAGACCACAGUACCGCAUGGUACGGUGGGAAAAACUCCGGUGGUAUGAGAUGGACCCGCGUCUGAUUAGCUAGUUGGUAAGGUAACGGCUUACCAAGGCGACGAUCAGUAGCCGACCUGAGAGGGUGACCGGCCACAUUGGGACUGAGACACGGCCCAAACUCCUACGGGAGGCAGCAGUGGGGAAUAUUGCACAAUGGGGGAAACCCUGAUGCAGCGACGCCGCGUGAAGGAUGAAGUAUUUCGGUAUGUAAACUUCUAUCAGCAGGGAAGAAAAUGACGGUACCUGACUAAGAAGCCCCGGCUAACUACGUGCCAGCCGCCGCCGUAACAC
rnacentral:rRNA from 1 species